AUAGAAUUAUUGCUGCGGUUAAAAAGCUCGUAGUUGGAUCUGUGCCCGCGGCGUGGUCUGCACGAAAGUGUAGUACUGCGUUCGUGGGCUUUCUGCCGGUCUUCGUGCCGACGUCUUCACCGACGGCGGUGCGUGGCUGGCGAUUUUACUUUGAGCAAAUCAGAGUGCUCAGCACAGGCGUCUCGCCUGAAUGAUCGUGCAUGGAAUAAUGGAAAAGGAUUUCGGUCCUCUUUUAUUGGUUUUUUGGACUGAGAUAAUGAUUAACAGGGACAAACGGGGGCAUUCGUAUUCCCACGCUAGAGGUGAAAUUCUUGGACCGUGGGAGGACGGACUACAG
rnacentral:rRNA from 1 species